CCGGAGUCGUAACAAGCCAUAAUGAUUUAUUCUGAGCAAUUAUAAGCAGUGCUCAUUCGCCAUAUAAAAUUAAUGCGACAGAAUGGGAUUAAAUCGAUUCGACACGCAUAAAAUAUUUUUGGCCAAUUGCCUUUAAAUCAUGGUUUCGAGGCGACCCUCCAGAAUGAGAAUGCAAACGGACAGGAGGAUCACUUGACUUUUGGUGCUACCCCUACCUCGCGGUGACGUUGCCAGAACUCAAAAGGUAUUACUGAGGGCCGGAAAGAGAUGGAGCGUGAAAUAGGAGACUCAAGACCGAAGGCGAUGGAGACUCACUAUGGACAACCUCUGCCCCAUCUAAGGUCUAUAGGACAUUAAGUUAAGACUAGGGCAUAAAAGGCCAGGACGCUCACCUCCAGUGAUACACGUGGACACUGUCAAUGCCAGAGGGCUCGCGAGUGCGUUGUCGACCUUUAAAUGUGUUUUACAUUUUCUAUUUCUAUUGUACAAAGUAAUGUACCUACUACAAAAUUGUGUAUCACUUAAAAGUAAUGUUUAUUAUUUAAGAAAAACUUAA